UUAUCUUCCGUUCAUUUCGUCUUCAUCUCUCAACUUCGACUCUCUCUCUCUCAUCAGAUUAUCUUGACAUCUCAUCGUUAGCAAAGAUAUGAAGAUAAUCAUGAAGAGUAAAAUGAAGAUGAAGAAUAUGAAUCAUUGUUUUCUAUUGAUUUCUUUUUAUCUUUCUCUCUUUUUUCUCUCUCAUCAUUUGUAAAACUCUUUCUCUUACCUCACAUGGUUUCCAACUCGUUCUUCACCAUCAUCUCUAUCGUUCUAUCACCUUUGAUCCGCCAUUUUCUCAUAGUCCAAACAAAAUUAAUUUCUAAAUUUACUAAUAACCAAAUUAUCUUGAUCUUGAAUUAACACUUUCAGUUCAUUUUCUUACCAAAAGCUUUAAUAAUUACUUUGUUUACCUUUUUGUCAAAUUCAAUUUUCUCUUUCUCUCUCUCUCCAUACAAAUUACCUUGUGAUGAAAUGAUUAAAUGUCCUUACAAUUAUUUUGAUGGUUGUUCGUUGUUAUUGAUAUCACAAGAAAAUUAAUAGAGUGUGAGCCUUAAAGAGAGAGAGAGAGAGAGAAAAGAGAAUAGAAUAAAAAUUAAAUUCUAUUCUAUCUUUUCCUUCCCCUUCCUUUCUCUCUCUCUCAACCAACAGUUACCUUUAUUAGAAUGAUUAAGUGAUUAUAAUUGAUACUUUUUACGUGUUCUGAUUAUAUCUUAAAACUUCAACAGGUAAAAAAAGGUAACCUGCUAUCAGGGUAAGUAAAGAAAGAGCGAGAAUUAUGAGUCAUCGUUGUUGUUGUUAGUUAAUUGACUUGGAAAGCCCGCUCUCUCUUUCUCUCUCUCCAAACGUGUUUAACAUUCACCCAAUAAGAGAGUUACUCUUUGUGACGUCAGUAAAUAUCCAAUGAAACAUAAAUAAAAAAAAAGUAUAAUAAUAAUAAACAAUUUCCUCCUCUUUUUCUUUCAGGUAUUCGUCAUUCACCUCAUCAUCUCAAUCAUCAGCCAGUGAAGAAGAAAAAAGAAAUCAUCAUCAUCAUCUCUCUCUCUCUCUCUCUCUCUCUCUCUCUCUCUCUCUCUCUCUCAAUGAAGGAAACGUUGGAAUCUAAAAAAUGUUACUGACCAAAGGCGAUGUUCAUCAUCAUCAUCAUACCUUAUCCAUCUUCUUUCCGGUUUUCGUUUCUCUCUCCAUCUUGAUGAUGCUUAAGAGGAGGUGGUGGUGGUGACGAGGGGAAGUGUUAGUUAUGAGUGUUGGAUAAUAUUUAUUGGGAAUUUCCCGAACCCGGGCUACCAAACUUUUCUGUUUUAUAUUUUAUUCUAUUUUCUUAUUUCAUCAUUUUAAUCAUCUUUUCUUUUUUUUCUUCUUCUUCUUCGUCUUCACCUUAGGCGGACUUUGUCUCUAUCACUUUUAUCCUCUUCUCACCGAAAAAAACCAGAAUUUUAUCUUCCACCCCUUCCAACCGGUCCAAACUCAUCUAGACAGGACAAACAAAUGAGAUUUAUUUAUAUUAAUUAUCAUCUUAUUUACAUUGUGAUGUAAUUAAUUUUUAAGGAAAUUAAUUUCACUACAAUCGUUAUAAAUAUUUACCUUUUUUUUUACAUAAUAUCUCUUGUUGAUAAAACUAAUCUACACUUUCUCUAAUAAUAAUAGUUAAUCAUCUUAAUGAACAUUUCAAUUCUGAUGAGUAAAUCAUAACAAAAAAACGAGGGAAAUCAAAACAACAAGAAUAACUCAUCUUUCUCAUAAAUUUAUCAAUGAAAAAAAAAACCAGAUUACUAUUGAUAUCAUAACUGUUAUGAUGAAGGGAUAAUUAUCAUGUGUAUGUAAUAGUGUAUCAUCAUCAUCAUCAUGAUAAUCAAUCAAAAAUCAAAACAAAACAUUGAAAGAAACUAAUGAAAGGAAUCAACGAGUCUGCAUGAUGAUAAACUGAAUUGGAGAUGAUAAAGUUUAUCUUUUUUCAAAUAUCGUUUUGCAUUUCACUUUAUCAAGCCAACAUUUCCACCAGAACCAGAAACAACAUGUUAUACAACACACUACUCUCUCUCUCUCUCUCUCUCUCUCUCUCUCUCUCGCUCAUGAAGCUAUUGGAAACCAGAAAGAGAAAAAGAAAGAAAAGAAAAAGAAAGAGUUACAAUAACCAUCAUGAUGAAACGAAUGAACCUUCAGGUUUCAUGUUCUGUGUUUUCUGUUAUACAACAUUCAACUCCCACCAAAAUUUUCCUUGACCUUGAAUUUCAAAUUCUUUUUCUCUUUCCUCCUCUCUAACCCUUUUAACCCAAAAACAAAAAAAAAUUGAUAAUCAGCCCAAAGGAGAACAACAAGAAUAAUAUUGUUAAUAACAGAACGAAUUGGAGAAAGAUAAUUAAUUCCUCUCAACGCAUCAUCAAAAUCUAGAAGACAAAAUGAAUCAAAAUGAGAGAGAAGAAGGAAGAAGAAGAUCAUUAUCAUUAUCAUCCUAAUGACAAUGAUGAAAAAGAUCAUGAAGGAGAGUAGAAAAAAUCGUUAAAACCAAAUCGACAAAAGAAAACAAUCAAAUGAAUGAUUCCAGUGAAUUGACGAUCAAUAAUUAUAAACAUCUUUCUCCAAUCAACUAACAUAAACAAUAGAACGAAAUAAAUUAAUAUUCCAAAUUAUGAUUUAUGUAUCUACAUGUUCUCAGAAAACAUGUAAACAUAAUCGAAGAAAGAAAAAUACAUAAAUCGUAAUAAGAAACAAAUUAACAAUCCAACAAUCAAUUAAUUGUUUUCUUUUCACUUUCUACUUUUUUUAUGGAAAAACCAUAAUUUCCCUUUCCUCCUCCUUUUCCUUCACCUUCCACCUUCUUGACCUUAAAGAUUUACCUGUUGUGUACUCUACCUGUUAAAAUUGAAUUUAACCUUAAUCAACAACAAUUAGCUCCAUGAGAAAGUGAGGGAGAAAGAGAGUAAGAGUAAGAGUGAGAGAGGAGAUAUCAGAUAGACGGAAUUUACUAUUGGCGUCAACGGAAAAGCUUCAGAAAUGAAUCAACGUAAUCAAAGUAAAUCGCGAAUCAACCUCACCCAACAAUUAAGGUGUAUUUGGAUUAAUUUGAUUGUUCCUUGAUUGCUGUUAAUGGAUCGAUGUUAAUUUCCUACUAGCCAACAACACGCAAUGAUCAAUAUUAAUGUUCAUCACCAAAGGAGAUUGAUGAUUGUUGAGCUUGAAUGAACUUUUCUGCCAUUAACUCAAGUCCAUUUCAAUGGGUGAAUGAUAAUAUUCAUUAACAAUUAUGAAAGUAAUCAUGAUGAUGAGCAUGAUAAUCACACGAUAACCUUGAAUAUGAAAAUUGAAGGUAAUUAAUUAUUAUCAUUCUCGUGAAAAUAUAUCACAAUUUUUUCAUUCAAAUGGAUUAACAUUAUUAUCAUUUUCAAUUGAUAACAAUAAUUUCUUAUUUCCUCUUCCUCUUAGGCUCUGGAUCAUCAAAAAUGAUAAAAUGGAGUUUCUUCAAUUUGAAUUCCCAAUCAGCUUCAUAUUUUCUUGAUUUUAUCAAUGAUCUUAAUGAAAGUUGGCAAACAAAUUUCAAAAUUGGAUUGAUUCUUGAAGCUAUAACACUUUUCAGUCCCAAUAUGAAAUAUCAAGAAAACUUUAGUGGCAAAGAAAAGCUUAUGAUGCAAGAAAGAUUUAAAGAUUACUCAUGAUUAAUGGAAAACAAAGUUGUACAUUGACAAUUUAGUGUAAAUGAUUAGUUAAUUGUUGGAUUAAAUCCAAAUUGUUACCAAAGGAACCAAAUGAGACCGAAACACAAUCAAAACAUCAACUCAUUGCAUCUUAACCAAGUAAAUCUUUUGACAAUCAACCAUAGACAUUACCCUUGAACUGAUCAUCAAAUUAUAUUACCUGAUCAUCAUCAUAAUCAUUAAAUAUUAAUUCAGUUAAAUUGUUCUGCUUUUGAAUAAUUACAAUUGAUUGUUGAAUGAGAAUGCAAAAGAUUAUUACUUUUUCUUAUUGAAACAAUAUCAAAAAUGGACAAUACAUUAACUAACUAAUCUAAUCAUUAUAUCUGCAUGGUUAAUUUUUGAUAAUUGUUUAAGAUGGAAUAUGAUUAACCCCUUAAUUGUUGACUAAUUGUAGUAAUUAAAAGGAUAAGAUGAGAAAACAAAAUUUCCGAUUCCCAACUAAACUUGUUUCCAAUUCUAUUGGUACAUUGACCUUACAUAAAUUGUUUCUCUGGUUCAUUGAUUAUUUAAUUAAUAAUUAUUUAAUUGUCUUCAAUCAAAUUGACAAUUGAUUUUAACAAUUAGAGUAAACAAAUAAUUAACUUGGAAAUUGUCAUCAAUCAGACUAAGAAGUAUCAAUUUUUAAUUCUCACUUUUUCUCUUCAUCUGAUUAACUUAAUUGGUUAUUUUUCUCUGUUAAUCAUUAGUUAAUUGUCGAUUUAAUUGAUCUGAUUUUGUCCAUAGAAUGAACUGAACAUAAUUAGGUUAAAUUGUUUUGAUUAAUCUCUUAAUUGUUACCUUAAUUCACUUUUGUUCUUAAGGUGAACUUGUUGUUUACUUGUCAACAUUUUUCCCUCUUUGGGCCUCAUUAGAAUUUAGAAUUUUUUUUCUUCUCUUUCUUUUCUUACUGAAACACUCUAAUUCUAUCAAUUUUGAUUAUCUUGAUCAUGUUCAUUGUUAAUUGUAUUUAAUUAAUAGACUAAUCACCCAAUAAUCGAUGGUCUUUUACGGAAGUAUAUCAAUUGAUUGUCAACAACAUUUUCGGUGUCAUGUCACUUUUGUCGCGAAUUUUUUUCCACUGGAAUAUCAAU